UACAGAGGUCUCAAGCGUUGUUCGGAUUCAUUGGGCGUAAAGGGCGCGUAGGCGGCCGGCCAAGUCAGGGGUGAAAGCCUGUGGCUCAACCACAGAAUGGCCCUCGAUACUGGACGGCUCGAGACCGGAAGAGGUUGGUGGAAUUGCGAGUGUAGAGGUGAAAUUCGUAGAUAUUCGCAAGAACACCGGUGGCGAAGGCGGGUCUACUGGGCCACUACUGACGCUGAGAAGCGAAAGCAUGGGGAGCGAACAGG
rnacentral:rRNA from 1 species